rnacentral:tRNA from 1 species
GGUCGCAUAGCUCAGCAGGUAGAGCACAUCCCUUUUAAGGAUGGGGUCCUGGGUUCGAAUCCCAGUGCUACCA